rfam:Echinostoma caproni strain Egypt genome assembly, scaffold: ECPE_scaffold0001482
UCACUGCUGACGAGUCUCAAACAGGACGAAACAGAUGUCCAGUGC